rnacentral:lncRNA from 1 species
AACUUCAAGUUAAUUCAAUUUGUAAAAUAUUAAAUAUAUAAGCAAGGUACAAUCCAAGAUUUACUGUACCGACUGUACCAACGGACACUAAUGCCGGUAUGGUACCAAUUCAAUACCGGUUGGAACUGCUACCGAACUGGCCAACAGAGCUCCGUGGACGCGAAAAAAAAAACAACGUCUGCGCGCGGAUGCGUUAAAUGCUUUAAUGCCACUUUGUGGCAUUAAAUGGCCCACGCAGGGCAGCUUACGUGGGCGUGAUUUCCUGCUAAGGGAAAAUUAGUUUAUAGUCCCCGCAUAUUUAUAGGACCUCCAAUAACCGUCGAGUAAAACUUAUUUAUAGAACCUCCUAUUAUCAAAAUCUUAUUUUUCAGUUCCUUUGUAACUAGCUGCACACCGUC